AUGAGGCCCACUUGCGCCAAAGCUGUGCUCUUACCUGCAGGUACUGCCAUAGAACAGACUCUAACACCAGCUUCAAAACACCCUCCAUUUAAACCAGCUGUGAGCUCCGCAGUACAGUGCACAGGCAGGACACAUGCUUACCACCGAGGCCUCUGUGGACCAGAGCAGACAGGAAAUUUGAUGUAUUCUUUCCAUCCUGGGAAUGGACAUAAUGAUAGUCGGAGGACUGUGUUUUAUACCAAUGAAGAGUGGGAAUUUUUAGACCCAACCCCUAAGGACCUAGAGGAGUCCAUAGUACAGGAAGAAAAGAAGAAGCCGAGCCCUGAAGGAAACAAAGUUUCACAAAGGCUGAAAAAUUUGCCUCAUACUUCCCUCAAAGCCAAACAGUUGCUUCAAACUUCAUCUACAAAUAGAGGAAAAGAGUGCCACCAAAAGCAGGGAGCUCUAAGGGAGCAGUUACAGGUUCACAUUCAGAAUGUAGAAAUCCUUGUAUCAGAGAAAGCCAAGUUACAGACAGCCCUGGCUCACACUCAGCAUGCUGCCAGGCAGAAAGAAGGAGAGUCCGAAGAUCUGGCCAGCUGCCUGUAGUAUUCCUGGCAGUGUGUGGGAGAGUUGGAGCAGGCUCUUUGCUGUCUCCAUACAGGAGAAGAAAGCAGACAGGUACAACAAGGAGUUAACCAAAGAGAGAAACACCCUCAGGCUGGAGUUACACAAGAACAGAUUUUUCAUUUCUAAAACAAAGAAACUUGACAGCAGAGUUGUAUUGACUGAGUUGUACACUGAGCCUAGCCCUAGCCCUUUUAAGGGGCACUGUUGGAACGGCCCAGGCUCCCAGAAUCUAAACUUCUCACUCUUCACUAUCUGGUUUUCAAGGCACUGUGAAGGCCCUGAUACUAAACAGCAGUUACUGCAGGCCAUGGAGGAGCGGGCAUAGCUGGAAGCACACCUGGGGCAGGUAAUGGAGUCAGUUGGACAACUACAAAUGGAGAGAGAGACGUAUGCUGAAAAUCUGAAAGGAGGGAGUGCCAUGUGGCAGCAGAGGAUGCAGUAGAUGUCAGAGCAGGUGCGCACAUUGAGAGAGGAGAAGGAGCAUAGCAUGAGUUGGGUAUAAGAACUGGAAAUGAGCUUGGCUGAACUGAGUAACCAAAUGGCCGUGCCCCUGGAACUCCAAGCAGGGCCCUCCAGGGUGGAGCAGCAGCUACAAGCAGAGGCUGGCCACCUGCAGAAGGAACUGGAGAGCCUGGCAGCUCCAAGCCCAGGAGCAAGACACUGAGGGCUUCAGUCACCCGAACCAGGAGUGGGAGGAGAGGCUGCUGGAGCUGCAGCAGGUGGCCAAGCUCUUGGGGGAGCAGGCAGAGUUGCACAGACAAAUCUUGGAGACCAUGCAGAAUGACUGCACCACCAUCAGCCGCGUGCUCACCCAGAACCACGAGCUCAAGGAGCAACUGUCUGAGCUGCAGAAUGGAUUCAUAAAGCUGGUGUGUGACCCCAUCAGGAGAGCCUGCCCUCCUCCCUAUGGUGGGCUCCUCCCAGGUCUGAACAUCAUCAUCGCGGCUAGAGUCAUGGAGCCCCCCAAACAUAGGGAAAGAGACGGUGGAGAAGGAGGGGCUGCACAACCAGUUACUGCUGUAGACCCAGUUCGUGGACCAGCUGCAGCAGCAGGAAGCUCAAAGCAAAGCAGUGGUCAAGAUGGCCUGCCAAGAGUUGCGGGAGACCCAGGAGAUGGACUGGACAGUGAGGAGGAGGUGGAGGUGCCUCAGCCCAUGCCGAGCAUCCUGGAGGACCUAGAGAGCCAGAAGGCCAUGGGGGCAUUUUUCAACUCAGCUGUAGCUAGUGCCCAGGAGGAGCAGGCACGGCUACGUGGGCAGCUGAAGGAGUGCACUGCCAGCGCAUGGCUCAUCUGCUGGCCUCGGCCCAGAAGGAACCUGAGGUGGCAGCCCCAGCCCCAGGAACUGGGGGCAAUUCCAUGUGUGGGGAGACCCACUGGGCCCUGCAGGCGGCCAUGGAGAGGCUGUAGAGCCGCUUUAUGGAGCUCAUGCAGGAGAAGGUGGACUUGAAGGAGAUGGUGGAGGAACUGGAACAUCGCUUCAUCUAGCUGUCUGGAGAGACAGACAUCAUCGGGGAGUGGGAAGCCAGGGCACAGCAAGGAGAGCUGCACAUCGGUCAGAGGGGCCCCAGCGUCUGAGCCCUGUCCUCCUGUAGGAGAGUACAUCGCAGUGUACCAGAGCCAGAGGGCAGUGCUGAAGGAGCAGCACCAGGAGAAGGAGUGCAUCGGCAGGCUGGCCCAGGACAAGGGACGAGAUGAAGGUGAAGCUGCUGGAGCUUUUUGCUGCUUGUGAGCGACUGCAACGAGUAGCAUGGAAGAUCCCUGGCAGCUGCCCAGAACCCUGCUGAUGAGCCCACUCCAGAGGUCCCAGCCCCCCAGCAGCUUGGGGCUGCUGACAAGCAGGGUAGUGAGUAAAGCCCUCAGGCAGGGUGGGCACACAGGAGGGCUCGCACAGCGCCCUGCCUCCCUCUCUCCAAAGAUCUUUGCGAGGUGAGCCUUGCCAGCAGCGGGGAGCCUGUGCAAGGAGAGGCAGGGAAGGGUUCUCCCUGCGGUAACCCCACUGCGCAGCAGAUCAUACCGCUGCUUUAUGGAGAUGCAGAACCUCCAGGAGCACCCAAGCUUGGGCAGCAGCCCUUGCAUUCCUUUUUUGUACCAGACUGCCGAGAAUGAUGAGGUGAAGAUCACCAUCAUCUAAAAGCCGGCCACUGUCAGCAAAAUCUGGAGAAGUGGGGCUGGAGGCUCUGCCUCUACUGUGCCCCUACCACCCCUUCCCAGUCAACCCUUUACCCUUACAGUAGCAAGCAUAAGACCCCUGUCUAAUGUGGAGAGACGGGUGGAGAUGAGGUGAAGAUCACCAUAAUCUAAAAGGCCACUAAAUAAAAUAAAUUUUAAAAA